rnacentral:rRNA from 1 species
UACGUAGGGGGCGAGCGUUGUCCGGAUUUAUUGGGCGUAAAGAGCGUGUAGGCGGCCAGGUAGGUCUGCUGUGAAAACUCGAGGCUCAACCUCGAGACGUCGGCGGAAACCAUCUGGCUAGAGUCCGGAAGAGGAGAGUGGAAUUCCUGGUGUAGCGGUGAAAUGCGCAGAUAUCAGGAGGAACACCGGUGGCGAAGGCGGAUCUCUGGGCCUUGCCUGACGCUGAGGCGCGAAAGCUAGGGGAGCGAACAGG